rnacentral:rRNA from 1 species
UAGUCCACGCCGUAAACGAUGGGCACUAGGUGUCGGCGGUAUUAAUCCCGUCGGUGCCGGCGCUAACGCAGUAAGUGCCCCGCCUGGGGAGUACGGUCGCAAGGCUGAAACUCAAACGAAUUGACGGGGGCCCGCACAAGCGGUGGAGCAUGUGGUUUAAUUCGACGCAACGCGAAGAACCUUACCUAGGUUUGACAUGCAUUGGAUCGGCUGUGAAAGCAGUCUUCCCUUCGGGGCCGAUGCACAGGUGCUGCAUGGCUGUCGUCAGCUCGUGUCGUGAGAUGUUGGGUUAAGUCCCGCAACGAGCGCAACCCUUACCCUUUGUUGCUACCGGGUCAUGCCGGGCACUCUGAGGGGACUGCCCCGGUUAACGGGGAGGAAGGUGGGGAUGACGUCAAGUCCUCAUGGCCUUUAUGCCUAGGGCUACACACGUGCUACAAUGGUCAGGACAAAGGGCUGCUACGUCGCAAGGCGCUGCCAAUCCCAAAAACCUGGCCCCAGUUCGGAU